rnacentral:rRNA from 1 species
CCUACGGGGGGCAGCAGUGAGGAAUAUUGGUCAAUGGGCGUACGCCUGAACCAGCCAAGUCGCGUGAGGGAAGACUGCCCUAUGGGUUGUAAACCUCUUUUGUCAGGGAGCAACGCCGGCUACGUGUAGCCGGACUGAGAGUACCUGAAGAAAAAGCAUCGGCUAACUCCGUGCCAGCAGCCGCGGUAAUACGGAGGAUGCGAGCGUUAUCCGGAUUUAUUGGGUUUAAAGGGUGCGUAGGCGGAAUGCGAAGUCAGCGGUAAAAUCGCGGGGCUCAACCUCGCUCCGCCGUUGAAACUGGCGUUCUUGAGUGGGCGAGAAGUAUGCGGAAUGCGUGGUGUAGCGGUGAAAUGCAUAGAUAUCACGCAGAACUCCGAUUGCGAAGGCAGCAUACCGGCGCCCAACUGACGCUGAAGCACGAAAGCGUGGGGAUCGAACAGGAUUAGAUACCCGAGUAGUC